AACGCGAAGAACCUUACCAGAGCUUGACAUCCCUCUGAAAGGGCGGUAAUGCGCCCCGUUCUUUGGAGCAGAGGAGACAGGUGGUGCAUGGUUGUUGUCAGCUUGUGUUGUGAGAUGUUGGGUUAAGUCCCGCAACGAGGGCAACCCUUACUUUCAGUUGCCAGGGAGUAAAGUCGGGAAUUUUGACGGGACUGCCGGGGAUAACUGGGAGGAAGGUGGGGAGGACGUCAAAUCAUCAUGCCCCUUAUGUUUUGGGUUCCACACGUGUUCCAAUGGCCGGUACAAAGAGAAGCGAACUUCAGAGGGGGAGCAAAACAGAAAAACCGGUCCCAGUUCGGAUUGUAGGCUGCAACUCGCCUGCAUGAAGUCGGAAUUGCUAGUAAUCGCGGAUCAGAAUGCCGCGGUGAAUGCGUUCCCGGGUCUUGUACACACCG
rnacentral:rRNA from 1 species